rnacentral:rRNA from 1 species
GACGAACCGUGCGAACGUUAUUCGGAAUCACUGGGCUUAAAGCGCGUGUAGGCGGCCCGGCGCGUCGGAUGCUGAAAUCCCCCGGCUCAACCGGGGAAGGGGCGCCGAUACGGCCGGGCUGGAGGGGGGUAGGGGGCGCUGGAACUCACGGUGGAGCGGUGAAAUGCGUUGAGAUCGUGAGGAACGCCCGCGGCGAAAGCGAGCGCCUGGACCCUUUCUGACGCUGAGACGCGAAAGCUGGGGGAGCGAACGGG